CCUACGGGAGGCAGCAGUGGGGAAUAUUGCACAAUGGGGGGAACCCUGAUGCAGCGACGCCGCGUGGGUGAAGGAGUAUUUCGGUAUGUAAGGCCCUAUCAGCAGGGAAGAAAAUGACGGUACCUGACUAAGAAGCCCCGGCUAACUACGUGCCAGCAGCCGCGGUAAUACGUAGGGGGUAAGCGUUAUCCGGAUUUACUGGGUGUAAAGGGAGCGUAGACGGCGGCGCAAGCCAGAUGUGAAAGCCCGGGGCUCAACCCCGGGACUGCACUUGGAACUGUGCCGCUAGAGGGUCGGAGAGGCAG
rnacentral:rRNA from 1 species